rnacentral:rRNA from 1 species
AGACGGAGGGUGCAAGCGUUAAUCGGAAUUACUGGGCGUAAAGCGCUCGUAGGCGGCCUGUUAAGUCGGAUGUGAAAGCCCCGGGCUCAACCUGGGAACUGCAUUCGAAACUGGCAGGCUAGAGUAUAGUAGAGGCAAGUGGAAUUCCGGGUGUAGCGGUGAAAUGCGUAGAUAUCCGGAGGAACAUCAGUGGCGAAGGCGACUUGCUGGACUAAUACUGACGCUGAGGAGCGAAAGCGUGGGGAGCAAACGGGAUUAGAAACCCCGGUAGUCC